UGGGGGAUAUUGCACAAUGGGCGAAAGCCUGAUGCAGCGACGCCGCGUGGGGGAUGAAGGCCUUCGGGUUGUAAACUUCUUUUGCUCUGAACAAGGCGCACCAUGGGGUGUGUUGAGUGUAGGGGUUGAUUAGCGCCGGCUAUCUACGUGCCAGCAGCCGCGGUAAUACGUAGGGCGCGAGCGUUGUCCGGAAUUAUUGGGCGUAAAGGGCUUGUAGGUGGCUGGUUGCGUCUGUCGUGAAAGCUCAUGGCUUAACUGUGGGUUUGCGGUGGGUACGGGCUGGCUUGAGUGCAGUAGGGGAGGCUGGAAUUCCUGGUGUAGCGGUGGAAUGCGCAGAUAUCAGGAGGAAUACCGGUGGCGAAGGCGGGUCUCUGGGCUGUUACUGACACUGAGGAGCGAAAGCAUGGGGAGCGAACAGG
rnacentral:rRNA from 1 species